rnacentral:rRNA from 1 species
UGGGGAAUAUUUCACAAUGGGCGAAAGCCUGAUGCAGCGACGCCGCGUGAGUGAAGAAGUAUUUCGGUAUGUAAAGCUCUAUCAGCAGGGAAGAAAAUGACGGUACCUGACUAAGAAGCCCCGGCUAACUACGUGCCAGCAGCCGCGGUAAUACGUAGGGGGCAAGCGUUAUCCGGAUUUACUGGGUGUAAAGGGAGCGUAGACGGCGAAGCAAGUCUGAAGUGAAAACCCAGGGCUCAACCCUGGGACUGCUUUGGAAACUGUUUUGCUAGAGUGUCGGAGAGGUAAGUGGAAUUCCUAGUGUAGCGGUGAAAUGCGUAGAUAUUAGGAGGAACACCAGUGGCGAAGGCGGCUUACUGGACGAUAACUGACGUUGAGGCUCGAAAGCGUGGGGAGCAAACAGG